UUGGGCUCAGGGUGGUGAAAUGGAUUGAAGGUUAUGGAAUGGAGAGGUUGGCUCUUAAGCCCAAGCUCCAAAUGAACACGGGUCUUAGAAAGCCCAUGUUUCCAUGGAAAGAAAUUCAUCAUGGAACACAAAAGCCUCACUGCAUCUUCACUUUGGUUUGACGCCUCCACCACAUGAACGUCAAGAAAAAUUUCAAGAGAACUCAACUUCAUCGUUGCGCUUCUCUCGUUCUCAAAGAAACAACAAAUUUCAGGCAAAAGAAAACAUGAAGAAGUCAGCUCCAAACACACGCCAACAAUCCCUCUAUUGCUUCCAUCGAUUUCAUUUUCAUCAUCCGCCAAAUCGAAACUGAAUUGCCCAAUCCAAAGAAAUCGCAUUCGCGGAUUAAAGACACAAGAAUGAGUAGAGAAACCUACCGGAUUGGUGAUCAUACGCGACGACUCAGAUGAUAAAUUCGUUUGAUCCUCUUUCCUUAUCUUCUUUUUCUAUCCGGCUUCUGAUGCGUGAUUCUUUUUGUGUUGAGUUUGGUUGCGUUUUCCUGUUUUCUGCUUCUAUUUUCUGCUUGAAUUUUCUUCAUCUGUUUCUGUUUUUCCGUGAUGUUCCUCCUCUUUUGUUAGAUGUUGCUGUCCUUCAUGGCCAGAAUCGUUAGGGGAUUGAAGAGUUAGGUUUCUUAAAGGUUGAGGUUUAACGGUGUUUGAAGGUUGUUGAGGUUCUGUUAGAAGGUUUUUUUUCCAGUAGAGUUAUGCUGGAAUUGCUUCAGUGAAGAGGGAUUUUUUGUGGAGGGUCGUGGAAGUUUUUGAGGGUCGUUGAAGAUGGUUGCUUUUGGAUUCUGCCGAGUUGAGGAGGAGAGUUAUGCAGGGUUUGUGAGGGUUAUUGGAAUCGAAGAGAGUAGAGAGGUACCAAGGGAGGUGAUUUCUGCUUGGUUCUGAAAUGUGUUGUUGAAGAGUUUUUUUUGGAAGAAGGUUGGUUCUGGAAGUAUUGGUGGAGUCCGUUUGUUAGAGGCUAUGGGAGUGAUUGAAGAGGUUUUGGAAGGAGAUUGGUUAUAGAUUUCUGUUGAGGGGUUUCGGUUCUGUUAUGUUUUGUUGUUAGAAUCAAUUUUUGGAGAAGUUGUUGUUAUGAACAAAGAGUGCAGAAAUUUAGUUUUGGCAUUAUGUUAUGACAGUUGGUUGAAGCAGUUAGGGGGUUGUUCUGUUAGGUGAUUCCAGUUCUGUUAUGACAGGUCGCCUUGUUGGUUGAAAUUCAGCUAGUAACAGUUGGAGGGUUUCGGUUGCAGUUCUGUUAUAUCAGUUGGUUUGGUUUAUGGACAUGAAAAAGUGGAAAUCAAGGCAUGACUUACACUCGAAGAAAGUGAUGAAAGUUUGGGUCAUUGUUCAUGGAACUAAAUGUAUUUGGACUUGUCAUGUUUUCUUUUUGUUGUAAAUUUAUAGUUUGAAGUUGAAUGAAAGGUUUGUAUGUAAUUAGAGUUCAAAAUGUAUGUGUAUGGUUUAUGCAUGGACUUGGAGUUUUGGAAAUUGGUUUCAAAAUGGUUUUAAUUUGUGAAUGUAAAGUCACUUGGUAAUGGAUGGUUUACAAUGAACAUAAUUAUGGUUUGUA